AUGGAUGUCCUGGGGCUGCUCAUCUGCCUGGUGGCUGCUCCCUGCUGUGUCCUGUCCCAGGUGCAGCUGCAGGGGUCGGGUCCUGGCCUGGUGAAACCCUCACAGACCCUGUCUCUGACCUGCUCUGUCUCUGGAUUCUCUUUAACCAGCUAUGGUGUGAACUGGAUCCACCAGCAUCCAGGAAAGGGGCUGGAGUGGGUCGGUGCGAUAUGGAGUGAUGGAAGCACAAAGUAUAAUACAGAUCUUAAAUCCCGAGUCACCAUCACCAGGGACACCUCCAAGAGCCAAGCUUAUUUAACAUUGAGCAGCCUGAUAGUCGAGGACACGGCUGUGUAUUACUGUGCGAGGGACACAGUGAGGGGAAGUCAGCGUGAGCCCAGACACAAACCUCUUCACAGGAAGACAGGAGGGGACUCGGUGGUUGAGUGA